rnacentral:rRNA from 1 species
GGGCGACGAUGAGGGCCGUGCAUAGGCGGGUGGCCCAAGAAGUGCCUGGCCCCUCCGGUAGAGGGGCUAGGACGCUAAGCCGCCCGGUGGAUGGCUCGGCUCGGGGCGCCGACGAAGGGCGUGGCAAGCUGCGAUAAGCCCCGGCGAGGCGCAGGCAGCCGUCGAACCGGGGAUU